CAGUCGCCGCGGGAAUACGAAGGGGGCUAGCGUUGCUCGGAAUGACUGGGCGUAAAGGGCGCGUAGGCGGAUUGUUUAGUUAGGCGUGAAAUUCCUGGGCUUAACCUGGGGACUGCGCUUAAUACAGGCAGUCUAGAGUGAGGAAGAGGGUUGUGGAAUUCCCAGUGUAGAGGUGAAAUUCGUAGAUAUUGGGAAGAACACCGGUGGCGAAGGCGGCGACCUGGUCCUUUACUGACGCUGAGGCGCGAAAGCGUGGGGAGCAAACAGGAUUAGAUACCCGAGUAGUCCCUGUCUCUUAUAC
rnacentral:rRNA from 1 species